CCUACGGGGGGCAGCAGUGAGGAAUAUUGGUCAAUGGCCGGAAGGCUGAACCAGCCAAGCCGCGUGAAGGACGAAGGUGCCAAGCAUUUUAAACUUCUUUUGUCAAGGGACAAAAUCAGGCUCGAGAGCCUGACCGAGGGUCCUUGAAGAAAAAGCAUCGGCUAACUCCGUGCCAGCAGCCGCGGUAAUACGGAGGAUGCGAGCGUUAUCCGGUUUUAUGGGGUUUAAGGGGUGCGUAGGCGGACUGUUAGGUCAGCGUGAAGAGCCCGGGGCCCACCCCCGGACAGCCGUUGAAACUGGCUGUCUUGAGAUGUCGAGAGGUAUGCGGAAUGCGCAGUGUAGCGGUGAAAUGCUUAGAUAUUGCGAAGAACUCCGAUUGCGAAGGCAGCAUACCGGAGGCGAUCUGACGCUGAGGCACGAAAGCGUGGGUAUCGAACAGGAUUAGAUACCCCUGUAGUC
rnacentral:rRNA from 1 species